rnacentral:rRNA from 1 species
UCGAGAAUCUUCGUCAAUGGGCGCAAGCCUGAACGAGCGACGCCGCGUGCGGGAUGAAGGCCUUCGGGUUGUAAACCGCUGUCAGUGGGGAGGAAGGCUCCGUGAAGAGCGGGGUUUGACCUAUCCGCAGAGGAAGUACGGGCUAAGUUCGUGCCAGCAGCCGCGGUAACACGAACCGUACAAACGUUAUUCGGAAUUACUGGGCUUAAAGGGUGCGUAGGCGGCUCAGAAAGUUGGGUGUGAAAUCCCUCGGCUCAACCGAGGAAUUGCGCUCAAAACUACUGAGCUUGAGGGAGACAGAGGUGAGUGGAACUUAGGGUGGAGCGGUGAAAUGCGUUGAUAUCCUAAGGAACACCAGUGGCGAAAGCGACUCACUGGGUCUCUACUGACGCUGAGGCACGAAAGCCAGGGGUGCGAACGG